rnacentral:lncRNA from 1 species
AUUUAGAAUUCAAUGACAUUGGAGCAAAGAGAAGAGAAACUGAAAAUCAGGCAACUUAAUGGCAAAAAGAAUUUAUGUCAAGAUUCUGAUUUGAGAAAUCCACUCAACGUUCAUGGCAAAAGCUAUAAAACAAAACUGAGCAUCAUUUUUGGCAGGUGCAGCCGGCUGCCAGGGCCAGCGGAGGAAGCUUCUGUGUCUGGAGACACCAGGAUUGCCCACGGAUCCGACCUCUCUUACCUUCACCACUCGGUGCUGGCCCGUCAUCUAGACAUCAUGUCUUUGCUUAACAUUCUGACAGCUCUCGAAAUGCAAAUAUCCCCGGGUCUUAAAAUGUGAAGACAAUAUUUUGAAGAGGUUUUAGAGAUCGGAUUCUGAAACUUCAGAACCUGCAGACAAUGGAGCGUAUAUACAAAUGUCUCAAAUAUCUUCAGAACUAAUUUACCUCUCUUGUCACUGCUGACUGACAGCUCUAAUAAAUUCCUACAUUUU